AGCGAACGCUGGCGGCAGGCCUAACACAUGCAAGUCGAACGGACCCUUCGGGGUUAGUGGCGGACGGGUGAGUAACACGUGGGAACGUGCCUUUAGGUUCGGAAUAGCUCCUGGAAACGGGUGGUAAUGCCGAAUGUGCCCUUCGGGGGAAAGAUUUAUCGCCUUUAGAGCGGCCCGCGUCUGAUUAGCUGGUUGGUGGGGUAAUGGCUCACCAAGGCGACGAUCAGUAGCUGGUCUGAGAGGAUGACCAGCCACAUUGGGACUGAGACACGGCCCAAACUCCUACGGGAGGCAGCAGUGGGGAAUCUUGCGCAAUGGGCGAAAGCCUGACGCAGCCAUGCCGCGUGAAUGAUGAAGGUCUUAGGAUUGUAAAAUUCUUUCACCGGGGACGAUAAUGACGGUACCCGGAGAAGAAGCCCCGGCUAACUUCGUGCCAGCCGCCGCCGUAACAC
rnacentral:rRNA from 1 species